UUUAGCUUUCCAGCACAUCUGCAGUGGAGUGGACCAGUGGCUUUUCUUGCGAAACACUGAAGAGGCCGAACUACAAACUCGUGGGAAUACUGUCUGAAAUAAAUGUGUCUGGGCACAUUGGUAUUGCCGGAUAACACGAGCAGAUUUUCAAACAGAUCCAAAUGCAUGUGGACCUCAGCGCACUCCUGAAAACUACCAAUCUGCAGUAGACAUUUUACAGUCUGAGGGACAACAAAACGUUGAAGAAAUGGAUGAUUCAGAG